rnacentral:rRNA from 1 species
AUUGAACGCUGGCGGCAGGCCUAACACAUGCAAGUCGAACGAGUGGCGGACGGGUGAGUAAUGUCUGGGAAACUGCCUGUUGGGGGGGAUUACCUACUGGAAACGGUGGCUAAUACCCCCUACCAUCGAAUGGGCCCAGAUGGGAUUAGCUAGUGGGUGGGGUAACGGCUCACCAAGGCGACGAUCCCUAGCUGGUCUGAGAGGAUGACCAGCCACACUGGAACUGAGACACGGUCCAGACUCCUACGGGAGGCAGCAGUGGGGAAUAUUGCACAAUGGGCGCAAGCCUGAUGCAGCCAUGCCGCGUGUAUGAAGAAGGCCUUCGGGUUGUAAAGUACUUUCAGCGGGGAGGCGUUACCCGCAGAAGAAGCACCGGCUAACUCCGUGCCAGCAGCCGCGGUAAUUC